GCAACUCAACGUAUCUACACAGAUUACAACUUACUUGUAACGUAUACAGCCUCUGUGCAAGCAGUAUUACCCGGUCACACACCUGCAGAGCAAAACAGUCUAAGUGGCAGGACAGUAGAUCCCGUUCCCUUGCAAGACCCCCAGCAAAUACCAUGAAAAUGGCUAUUUUGGAGAGCCAACCCUACAAUAUGCCUCUCCUAGUUAUUAAAAGCAUUUUAAUUCCAGGCAUAAAGUAUUGUACUUAUAAAACCCGCACUUAAACAACUUCUUGUAAAAACAUUCCGGUGCUGAAAAUAUUGAGGUGACAGCAAUAUUGUGAGACAGCGCCCUCUGCUGGAUUCUCUCCCCCACACCCCACCCCCACCCCCACCCCAGAUAGCGCCAUCAAACCACUGUCUAUUCAAAGGGUCCCUGACAUGAUUCAUCAACUUUGCCUAAAUGUUAUAUAUUGUUUGUAAAUAUGUUCUACAUUGUUCGAAUUUUGAAAGCCAACGGUAAAUUCACAAAGAAGAUAUUUAUCGUUGACGGCACCAUCAUGACGAGCUAGCUCUCGCUGUUCAGUCUCGUUUCUGUAAGGGACAUCAUCGGGGUGACACCUCUCAGCUAAAGCAGAGUAAACAAACGCUUCUCCGGGUAGAUGCUAGACUUGGUUCAGUAUAUUUUUCAUCCAAAUAGUAGUCAUGCCAAAAUGUCGUGUUGCUGCUGGAUGUUCAUAGUCUCCUGGUGAUAUUGUAAGUUUGUUUCUUUUCCAAAAGGGUAAGGUUUAAGACAACAAUGGAUGACGCAAGUGCAGAGAAAGAGCGACAGAAGGACGCUCACCUCCAGUUCUGUUGUUUGCAGUGAUCAUUUUACUGAUGGCUGCUAUGAAGGAACACCAUUACAAGAAGCGUUUGGCUUGAAAGUACACUAUAAACACAUUUUGAAAAAGGAUGCUAUUCUACCGGUACACAGGAAAGCUGUCAAGCAUCAUACAUGUUAUAUAAACACCUUUUCAUGGCCAUAUGUAUCUUUACUGUGGGGGUGCGAGGGCGCCAAAAUAUCAAUCAGGCUAAAAAGACCCCCUUUACGCUCAUUAAGAAGCCGAUUUAAAAUAAUAAUUGAAGGAUAAGUUACUCCUGAGUCAUUUACAUUUACCAUUCUGUGUUUUGAAGUCGACCAAUCAUCAUCUCCAUGUCUUAAGGCUAAAGUCCAUGUUCUGCAAGUUCUCCAUUUAAUCUCCAAAUGUUUUUUGUCCUCCUUUUCUCCUGGAAAACUACUGACACAUGGCUCAAAUCUUGGCUAUGAUAACUGUAAGCGUCCUCUGUCUCGUACACCGCCAUGUUUGUUUACCUGAGUGGCAGUACUCCGACGGCGUGACUUCUCGAAUUGAGACUUACCCGUGAGAGGUAUUUAUACGUUUCUAUAAACCCGACGCCCGAUCCCAAAGACGUAUUUCUACAUCUUUUAUGUUUUUUUGCAAGGGAAACAAAAAGGUGAUGACGCAAUUGCACACUAAUGAAUGUCACUUUUAAAAUAAGAUUUUCACGCAUGCACACAUGCAUGCAUGCGUGUGCACACACAGUUCAGUUCCAAAUGUGAAAAUUGUAAAUAGUUAUAUAAUAAAAACAAUAUGUCAAAGUGAAAGUUAUGCUUGAAGUAUAUCUUCUGGUUUUAGUCGGGAACUGAUAUUUUCCUGAAACUUACCUAUGUUCUACUGCUGAUUACUGAAAAUGGACAAAAGGUAGAAACAAACUUUUUUUUCUAUUGAAAGACGGGAGUGUAAUGUUUCUUUUGGUAGGUUCCAUGUUUAUAUAGCCAUAGAACACAAUAGUGUGUGUGCCUUGAAAGAUCAGUCCAAAUGGUCUAAAAUGGCCGCUACUGAAGGGGUUGUCUUUUGAAAAAUGGCUGAGAUUGAAUGAGCUAAGCAAAGGUUAUACAUCAUGUCACAGAUCCUUUAAGUUACGAUAAAAAAACAGACUAAUUAUAAGAAAAUAAAUCUGCAAAUACGCAGAGCAGAGCGUGGCGAAUGGAUCUACUGUAUGUAAUGACUUGGCUGGUGAAACAGUUGGAAAGUGCUAAUCGGGUUCUUAAGCACUGCUGAGGCGCCUGUGUAUUAUUCAUUUGUGCCUAACCUCUGCCUGGAAGUCGUUGGGAGGUGAAGCAGACACAGGCGUCUGUGCGUCGUCGUUGUCGACCCUCAUGGGAGGGCUCUCCGGGUAGUAGAUCUCCUUUAGCUGAGGAUCGUCAGACAUGUGGGUGCAGUACAGCGGCACCGUUUCAUCGCCGCAGAGCCCCUCGGCCGCAUCUCCAUCUGAGAACAUGUGAGCUAAUCCAACACCAUGUGGUCAGCAGCGUGAAUGUCAUCUUUGGCUUCAGGUGCACAAUGCAGCUUACUUUUCAUUGAACUUGUGGGCGGGUUACUGUCAGCCACCCCCCAAGCCUCAGCUCUCCUACCCUGCGUCUUAUCAUAAUCACCCUGGAAGUCAUUUGAGUCCUUCAUUCUGGUUUGGAAGAGCAGGUUUUGAACCUUUUCCACUGCAGACAACGAGUAAAAAGAAGUCCCAUCACGACAAUAUCAUUCAAUAAUUCUGUGGCCGUGCUAUGCCUGCCUCAGCUCUGACCUUCAUUGAUGGCGCCUGUGAGCAGCGUCUCCCCCUGCUGGAGGUCAGUGGGGUCUCCUCGCAGCAGCAGUCCCCUUGAGGGGCUCUCGAGUCCUGUCACGUCCAUGUACAGGGUGCUGUAGAUGUGCAGCUUCUCAGACAGGCAACGCUUGAUCUGCUCAUCCCGCUCCUUCAAACGGUCUAUGCACAGGCAACGCAUAUUUUAUUAUUAUUAUUAUUAAAUACUACGGAAAUGCGGCUAAAUAUCUUCUUACCUUCAUAUUCUUGUAGUCUGGUGAUAAUCUCCUGGUGGAGUGCGUCCUCCUCCGAGUAGCUGGAUCCCAAUGACAUGUUCAUCAGUUCAUUGGCAUUUUGUCAACUAAAAGCCACUUUUAGGAUGUGUACGAGAAACCAGAGAGCUUACGUUCCCAAAGUGGGGUAUGCGUAACCCCAGGGGUACACCAAUUGUGAUCGGUGGUAUGUGAAUACAAAUGAAAAACAAUUAGCGCCUAAAACUCUGAAUUACGAGUGCACCUCUACGCCUCAUGGUGCAAGGAGAACAGAGCGUUGCUCAUACAGUAUGAACAAAUCAGCACAUUUGAUGAUUGUGUGCAUUAACUCAUUCAACACCAAAUACGUAUUCAUACGUCUUUUAUGUUUUUUUGCACAAGAAAAAGCGGUGAUGACACAACUCCCCACUAAUGGAUUUCGCUUCAGAGCAAUUCGAAGCCAUAAAAACGGCCACAAGGUGGCAGAAGUGCAUUUGAUAAUAGCUCGGCAGGGCUCAUGUGGACCAACUGAUAUUUUCCUGAAAUUGAUGAUUACUAAAGAACGGGAAAAGGUCUUGAAGGUCUGCCUUGAAAGAUCUGUUGAAAUCAUGUACACUGGCCGCUACUGAAGGGGUUGUCUUUUGAAAAAUGGCUAGGAUUGAAUGAAUUAAGAGUGUUACGUCUUGUAGAUUUCAUUUAUAUUGGUGUCCCCUGUUCUCCAUGCGCCGUGAGGCGUUCAGGCGCAUUGGCUAUUGUGUUUAAUGUUUUAAAUGUGCUUUAUAAACAAACAUUGACCUUGACUCAUAAUUGUGAGUGUGAGGCGCUAAUUGUUUAGCAUUUUUAUUCCCGUACUCCUUGUUACAACUGGUGGACCACACUUUGGGAACCUAGGUACUACACCGUAUUGUUCUGAAAAUGUGUCCUCACAGAGUGGCUGGGGGUGUUGAUUUACUCAACCGUGAGAGUACCAGACACUUGUUUCAAAGAAGGUGCUUGUGUUUGGUAAGAAAAGGUCAGCAUUCCCCUCACCCCCCUUACUGGUUAAUGGCGUCCCUUAUGAGGGCCAUCCAGCUGACUCGCUCCUCGCGGGAGCCAGCGUGGAGCUCGUACAUCUCGGAGGUGCACGCGCAGAUAAGGAACAUGGCUUUGUCUUCGUGGGCCACCUCCCUCAAGAUGAGGUUUUGAAGGGAGACCACGGGUGGUUUGUUAUCCUGCACGGGCAAACAGAGCAGGUGUUUGAUGGAACUGAAAAAGUCCAUCAUUUCAGGCAGUACUCACCACGGCAGCAAAGACAAACUUUUGAUCUUUGUCUUGUAACAGGAGGAGCACGUCUGACAGCAGCACAGCGUGGACGUCUGCAAGCACAUAUGAAUGUUCAGCACCAUGUGUUUUUCAACUUGGACCAAAGCAAAGGGAUGACAAUCUUCAAUGCUGCGGUAAUACAACAUCAUUGACCUUUGUGUCUGGCAGAAGACUUCCAGGUGACUUGGCCUUCAUGCAGCAGCGUCCUGUUGUCCUGGAUCAGAUCGUCCCUGCGGAACACUUGACCGUCCUUCAGCCGGCCCACGGAUUUGGGCUCCAAGCGCAGGUGGAUCUCUCUCAGGCGGGAGGCCUUCUCGUAUUCCCUGACACGUCCGUUGACCUUAGAGAUGGUGUCUUUUAUGGACGCUAAACCCUGGAGCAGAGACUGGUGCUCGUCUGUAUCAGCUGAAAAGGAGCAGGAAGUCCUCUAAUAGUAUUUGCAAAGGAGUAUUUUAUGUAUGAAUUGGUUUACCUUCAGUGUUUUGGAUAAUUCGCUCCACCAGGACGGGAUACUUUGUGAUGCGCUGAGUCACCAGCAGAAAACACUCGGGGAUCCCCAACCUUCUCACCAGCGCCAGUUGACCAAUUUUCUGUUGGACACACCUGUGCUUAGGCCAUUCAAAAUAACACAUUUUGCUGGCCGAUAAUUGUGCUACAAAUUAUCGUCGAUAAUCGAUGUUAUCAACAUUUUUUGAGACCAUUUUUUUUCAUACAUUCUUGUCAUGAGGUGUAAUUCACAUUGAACCACUAGAUGGUAGGAAAUAUACUGUACCUGUGUGAGCCACGCUAGCUUGACACAGAAGUUACCUGUAUGUAUGUUUUUUUUAAAUUUCCGCCAUAUAUGCCAUAUAACUGUUGAAUGGUUGCAUUUCUUUUACAAUGUAGCGAGCGACACUGUCUGUGAGCGUGCAACAUUUUGCACAGUUUUUUUUUUUAUAUUUAUUUUGCCAACCAAACUCCUCAGUAAGUGUCGACUGUCGGGACGAAGGCUCCACUGCGCAAGGCACCUCCAUCGGUAGUUUCUCCCCCCCCCCCAUUUGAGAAAACUGUGUCGGUCAUCGGUGCUCAUUCUAUUUAAAAACUAAAUAUUCCCACACUGGGACUGUUGUGUCCGCCUUACAAA